CGCGCCACGCAUUUGGCACUUACCAAAAAUGAACCUAUGGGUUUAAUCUGUGCUCAUAGAGAUUCGCUGGAGUGUGCACGUCAGGAAGAAAGUAAAUGGCAGACUACUGACAAGACCCCACUUCCAGACCGUACCCCCAUCCACGGUUCCAGAGCUUGUGAUGAGAGGAGUAUAACACAGUAUAAUAGACAUCACUUGCUGUAUUUCAGCUUAAUUCACCGAAAAGGACAGGCGUCGUGAAGGAACAAGGACGACGCGCUUAAGUGAAAAAGUGCGCUGGAAUAAACAGACCACAAAACGUAGGAACUCAGGAAGAGCAAACACUUAAGCUGCAGAGGGAAGAAGUACAACCGGAGCUAACACUCCCUCCAGAGAUGAAUGGAAAAGAAAAAGCCAUGGACUACGAAAAUCGGGCACUGACUGACCAGCUGGGUUCAAAAGUCUCUCGACUGAAAUCGCUGGCCUUUGACAUUGACAUGGACACAAGAGAGCACAAUAGCCUGUUGGACUCCAUGGGCGGCGACUUCGACUCCACGGAGAGCUUCCUGGGUGGGAGCGCGAACCGCAUGAAGAAGAUGAUGUCCUCAGGCCGGG